UGUCCAGUAACUCCUAUCCCUACUUCCCCGAGGUGCAGUCUGGCGUACGAGGAACCUUAGGAAAGAUCGGGUGAUCAACCCCGGUGGGACCUUGAUCGUAUGCGGACAGGGAAGG
rnacentral:ribozyme from 1 species